UACAGAGGGGGCAAGCGUUGUUCGGAAUUACUGGGCAUAAAGGGUGCGUAGGUGGCUUGGUAAGUCAGUGGUGAAAUCGUCCGGCCCAACCGGGCACGUGCCAAUGAUACUGCCGAGCUUGAGUGCGUGAGGGGUAGGGGGAACGAGCAGUGUAGCGGUGAAAUGCGUAGAUAUUGCUCGGAAGGCCAAAGCCGAAGGGACCCUACUGGUACGUAACUGACACUGAGGCACGAAAGCGUGGGGAGCAAACAGG
rnacentral:rRNA from 1 species